ensembl:lncRNA MIR4435-2HG MIR4435-2 host gene
GAGUCAGCAUGAGUCAUCUCGUUCCAAUGAGAAUGAAGGCUGAGGUGUGCGCCUUUUUUUUUUUUCCUUCUUAGUCGUGUGUACAUCAUUGGGAAUGGAGGGAAAUAAAUGACUGGAUGGUCGCUGCUUUUUAAGUUUCAAAUUGACAUUCCAGACAAGCGGUGCCUGAGCCCGUGCCUGUCUUCAGAUCUUCACAGCACAGUUCCUGGGAAGGUGGAGCCACCAGCCUCUCCCUGACAAGCAAAGUGGAUCAGCAAAGGCUGCAGUCACCAGCAUCUUUUCCAACCUUAAUGAACUGUAUCCUCAAAAGAACACUAUCAGACUGGCUCUGCCGACUUCCAGUUCUGGAACAAGAUGGUUAAACUCAUUUUUCCCUGCUCUGCUCCUCUAAAUACAACUAAGUACCUUGGAAACUAUUCAGCAGACAAUGAUAAAGGGCUCUGAAAGCUAGAAGAAAAGGUGUACUUGCAAGAAACCUCAGGACUUGAGUAACAGCAACAUGGAAAGGAGAAAGAGACUACCUACUGCAUUUCUGUCACUCGCUGAAAAGGACACUCUGUCAGAAAAUCUUCUAGCAAACUUCAAAGGGCAAAAUCACCCCUUGUUACUGAUAAAGCCCAGAGAGCUUCAGCAGCUAACAUUCCCUGGACAGGGCACAGCAAGGAUUUGAACCUAGGUCAGUCUGGCCAGAACACCCACAAGCUUUCCUUAACUCAGUGUGCUAUCUCCCCACGACUAGGUCACUACUGCUUUAUAAUCACCUUUGUAGCCACCAGUGGAUUUUGCUCAUCAGUAUUUUUCAGGCAAUUGAUACUUUAGAUAUUCAGCUGCAAGACGUAUGCAGUUUUCAUUGACAUCUUUUGGAGAAACUGACAAACCUGGACUUGACUUAAUGCCUUUGGAACCUUCCAAGAUGUUAUAUAACUCUAGAUAGAAGGCUGGGCCUCCAUGAUGUCAGGAAUGUUGCAUUCUUAUUUCCCCAUAGAUAAACCCAUUUGUCCACAAAGUCAAGGAGUCAGGCAGAGGCCCUUGCCAUGGGGCUUUUUAGGAUAAAGCAACAAGCCUGGACUUUGCUCUACAACAGGGUUUUGCAUAGGGAGUGGUAUGACCAGAUCCCUCAAGAAAGAAAGCUUAGAGACCAGGCCAGAGUCCACUGCAGUAGCCCAGUCAAGAGAGGAUGGUGACUUGGACUUGUAGUAGAGCCAGUUAGAAUGAAAGAAAUUGACACAUUCAGAAAUGGUUUUAGAGAUAGAGUCAAACUGGACCUGAUAAAGAACUAGAGAAGCGGAGUGAGGAUAAAGAGAAGAGCCAUGACUGACUCGGAAGAUUUUGUCUUGAAAAACUUGAGAACUCAAGACAGAGUGAAAUAAAAUCACAUGUGGGAAAAAUCUCCUGCUUUGUUUUGGACUACUUUGAAGUGAAAUGCCUGUUAAGCCUAAGUGGGGUAGGUCAUGGCGUACAUGACUGUGGGCUCAGGAUGGAUACAGGCAUUCAGGAGUUGUGAGCAAAUAGAACUUAAAGCCAUGAGAGAAGAAGGGAUCACCAAGAGAGACAGUGUGGCAUAGAGAAGAAAAGGGGUGGAAGACGAUCCCUGGGCAGAAAAGUCCUUAGAGCAGAGGCAACAGGCAUGACCAAGAAGACUAAGAAAGAACAUUCAGUACAGCAGGAGGAGAGCAAAAAAUGUGUGGUAUUCUAGAAGCAAAGAGAAUAAAGGGCUUCAGGAAGGAGC